rnacentral:tRNA from 1 species
AUUUAUUUAAUAUAAUAAGUAUAUUUAGCUUCCAACUAAAAAGUCUUUAAAAUUAAAGAAUAAAUA